CUCAAAUAUUUUAUUUCCUCCCAAAAUAAACUGUCGCCCCUCCCUCUAUUUCAUUUCCUAACUCUUUUGUCUUUUGGGGUUUUUGAGCCACCAACUAUGGAUCCCAAUAACUCCAAUCUCCGGCUACCAUGGCCGCCGAAUCUUCAUACCAAGUUGAAGCCCACACUUUCCUCAUCACUACCCACCCAAUCGCUGGCCUUAAAUUCGGUAGAAAUCGAGUGAAAAUGGCCCAAAAAUAGCUUUCUGACGCACUUAAAAUGGCUGGAAUCUCCACUUCCGACGACACCCAGAAUAUGCCCAUCAUCCAAGUCGACCAAGCACCUGAUUCCACUCCUAAUGAUGUAUUUAUAACAUCAAAAAAAGCUGAAAAUCCAAAUCAAUAGCAAAUUUCAUCUACAGGGAAACUGGACAGUUCAAACCCAAAUUUCGGCGCCGGCAAUGCAAAUCACAAUGGCAGACCACCUCCCCUACCACCGCUCAUCACGAGGAAGCUUUUGCACGUAUGGAUCAUAGCAAUUUGGACUCAAUAUGGACGAACAAGUUGGGACAGUUCAUUUAGAGAGAGCAUUCUAUUUAUAUUUUUCAAGGUGAUUUUUUAGUGCUUAGUGGGUGAUAAUUUCAAGACAAUAUACAAUAAAAUUUCAUCUGGAGUUUAGUUUUUCCCCCCUUAGAUUUUUGUUCUUGAAAUGUAUGUUUAUUGGAUUUGUUUUGCUCCAUUAUCAUAAAUUCUUAAUUUCAAGACCCUUUUAGUAUCUUGGUCAUGUGAUUAAUCGUGGAAAGACAAUACAGUAUCUUAGAGAUCUUUUUGCUGAGAUGUGCCUUUUAUUUAAUUUCUUUUUGGCACGAAAUUUGAAAGAUCCAAGUGAAUGAGACUUUUCUGAUUAUGGAUUUCCACGUUUAAUGGAUAGAUUUCAAUUUCUUGUUGUGAUCUAAGGAUAUUUUGAUUUAGUUCACAGAACGACACAUGCACUAUGCACUCCCAACACACAUAUAUCUUCUGGAAAUUCUCGGUUCUUGAAUUUCAAUUGAAAGCUCUGGCUAAAUGGAAGCAGGACAAUUUCAACGCAAAAUAUGGGACAACAACAAUGAAUGUUUGUAUACGGAGAAUGGACAGAUGUUCC
rnacentral:lncRNA from 1 species